AUUGGCUGGGAUGAGGGAUUAUGUACAACUGGCAAGCUGGGAGGGCAGGCCUGUUGGAGACGGCUCGUCCGAUAAUCCACUUGGACCCACAGUCACCAGCAUCUCAGCUUGUUUUCUCUCUCGGCCAUGGCUUCUGUCCCUUGCUUCUCUUUAGGAAUUUAAAAAGAAAAAAAAAAUCAAAAGGAAAAGAAAAUAGAAGCCGAUUCACCGCAGCUGACUCCGGAAAGCGUUACUCCGUCCUCCGCAAAGCUUUUCCCGCACAGGAAAAGCCGAGCCCAUUUGAAAAAUACUUUGUGAGUCCUCUGGUUCGACGUGGUAACUGAACUUUUUUUUUUCCCCUCCUCUUGGAGUCAUUCCUGCUACACGUUGGCUGUUUAUCUGGCCCCAGGGUGGAACCCGGCUCGGCCGCGAUCCUGGCAGCGGUUCUUCAUUGACCAUCCCGAUCCGAGCGGCUGCUGCUGGGGUAAACGACAGCGCUUUCUGGAAGGCCGAGGGUGCCCUCUGGCGAAGCAGGGCCGCCAGUGACAGAGGCAUGGAGGCUGGGGACCGCAAGCACCAAGAUCGUGUCCACGGCUCAGGCUCCACGCAAGAGCAAGGGCCGCUCCUUUCCAGUCUGAUUGAGUACCUGGCUCCAGACCAUUUCCCAGAAGGGUUUCUAGAUCUUUCC
rnacentral:lncRNA from 1 species